GGUUAAGUUAGAAAGGGCGCACGGUGGAUGCCUUGGCACUAGGAGCCGAUGAAGGACGGGACGAACACCGAUAUGCUUCGGGGAGCUGUAAGCAAGCUUUGAUCCGGAGAUUUCCGAAUGGGGAAACCCACCACUCGUAAUGGAGUGGUAUCCAUAUCUGAAUUCAUAGGAUAUGAGAAGGCAGACCCGGGGAACUGAAACAUCUAAGUACCCGGAGGAAGAGAAAGCAAAUGCGAUUCCCUGAGUAGCGGCGAGCGAAACGGGAUUAGCCCAAACCAAGAGGCUUGCCUCUUGGGGUUGUAGGACACUCUAUACGGAGUUACAAAAGAACGAGGUAGAUGAAGAGGUCUGGAAAGGCCCGCCAUAGGAGGUAACAGCCCUGUAGUCAAAACUUCGUUCUCUCCUGAGUGGAUCCUGAGUACGGCG
rnacentral:rRNA from 1 species